rnacentral:rRNA from 1 species
GAUGAACGCUGGCGGCGUGCCUAAUACAUGCAAGUCGAGCGAACGGACGAGAAGCUUGCUUCUCUGAUGUUAGCGGCGGACGGGUGAGUAACACGUGGAUAACCUACCUAUAAGACUGGGAUAACUUCGGGAAACCGGAGCUAAUACCGGAUAAUAUUCUGAACCGCAUGGUUCAAAAGUGAAAGACGGUCUUGCUGUCACUUAUAGAUGGAUCCGCGCUGCAUUAGCUAGUUGGUAAGGUAACGGCUUACCAAGGCAACGAUGCAUAGCCGACCUGAGAGGGUGAUCGGCCACACUGGAACUGAGACACGGUCCAGACUCCUACGGGAGGCAGCAGUAGGGAAUCUUCCGCAAUGGGCGAAAGCCUGACGGAGCAACGCCGCGUGUGUGAUGAAGGUCUUCGGAUCGUAAAACUCUGUUAUUAGGGAAGAACAUAUGUGUAAGUAAAUGUGCACAUCUUGACGGUACCUAAUCAGAAAGCCACGGCUAACUACGUG